rnacentral:misc_RNA from 1 species
GUAGGUGAACCUGCGGAAGGAUCAUUAUUGAAAAAAUGUUAACCGAUCUGAUUGUGCUGGCUUUGCAAGUGCACGUCGAUCGGGUCCAUCCAACACCUGUGCAUCUUUGACUCUGAGCUUGUAAUGAGCGAGGGGUAUUUUACUAUACACUUUGUAUGUAUGUGAUAGAAACUGUGCAUUGCACGAAAAAAUAACAACUUUUAACAACGGAUCUCUUGGCUCUCGCAUCGAUGAAGAACGCAGCAUCUGA